CUCCCCGCGAGGCCCGACCUUUGUUCCCGACCUGCCCGGCCGCGCCGUCCCGGGUGCGUCCCGCGUGCCUGCCCCGCCUCUCUCCUCACAUUUUCCGGUCGCCGUGGCCCCUUUUCGGAGCCGGGAGUGCGGAGGCGGUUUCCUCGCGUGUCUGUGGCUGGGGGCCGCCCCUCGCGCCCCCCGGGUUCGGCGCGCACCUACUCUGCGGCUCGGCCGCCGCGCCUGAGUUCGGCGAAAGCCUUUCCAGGGCAAGUCUGUCCGUGACCCUCUCGGAGAGUCGCAGUUUCUAAAUCUCUCGAAGUAACGCGGCUUUAGCCAGGAGGUCCCAAGCGUUAGGAUUAAAAAUAAAGAUAAAAGGGGAAUGGGGGGCUGGGGGAGGUGGACCUUGUGUUUGCACCUAGGUGAAACCUUCCUCUGCAGGCGGCGGUGUUUGCUUAGGGUCUCCCGCACCACCUGGAUUGCCCGGAGAGCGAUGUAUGAGCUUGCAAAUUUACACACAGACACACACACACAGAAACUCCUCACAUACUACAUGUGACAGGUGACUUCUGACACAGUGUCCGAGUGACCAUGCCAGGUCAUUCAUAUGAGGAAAGCUUAGUAGUGGGGAUCGAACUUGGGUCCUUGUGCUUGAGCAGCAGCAGCAGCACCAGAAAAAGAAGAAGAAGAGGAGGAGGAGGAGGAGGAGCAAGAAGAAGAAGAGGAGGAGAAGAAGAAGAGGAAGAAGAAAGAAGAGGAGGAGGAAGCAGAAGAAGCAACUUUUCAAUUGUGGGCAGAAAUCCCAAGACCAAACUGGUUGUUUCUUCUAGAAAGAUGACUCUUUAAGUUAUUAUCAUUCUCCUUCCAGGGUGCUGUUCAGGGACAGGCCUGGCAAAAUAAAACUGCUACUGGAGAGAUUGUGCCUCUGUUUACUAGGGGUCAUUUUGGUUUGGUGGGGGUUUUUUGGCACUGGAGAUGGGACUUGGGACCCUGUGCUCGCGAGGCAGGCAGCGGAACCACUGAGCUAAAUCCCUGGCCCUGGUUGUUUUGUUUUUGAAACAGAGUCUGGCUGAGUUAUCCAGGCUAGCUUGGAGCUCUCUACACUCCUUUCUCAGCCUCCUGAGUAGCUGGGGUUACUGGCACAUAACACUAUACCUGGC
rnacentral:lncRNA from 1 species